ACGCACAAUAUAGGAGAUAUAAUCUUGCCAGUCACGGUAACAAUGAAUGCAAGAGAUAUCAAACUCGUAUUAUUAUUACAUUACUAACAGUAAUUUGUUCAGCAAAUAAAAUUAUUCCAACCAAUGGGACUUAUCUAAUCAUAUCCGACCGGUGGAAAAAUCUUCACGUGAAUGCAAUAUUUCUGUUUUUCUCAGCUGUGCGUGUUCAUCUGAAUCAAAUUAGAAGUGCUAGGACAAUUCCACGGCAAAUGUGCAAAUUAGGAAGCAACAAAAAAGAAGACUAUGCCAAUUUGCAUAAAAUUACCAUCGCGAUUUAAUCGGCGGGGCCUGGUUUGAUUGGAGCUCUUGCUGACAUUGAAAUUAUUGAGGGAAAAAAGCAGCUCAGUGAAAUACAAUAAUUAUGUCGAAUUUGCAAAGUCAUUGCAAUGCUUCGAUUUGCAUUUUUCUGGUUAUGAUAUUUUCAUUUCAUUGGCGGAAUAAUAAUACAUUGACACUUUGGGAAUCGAGGAAUGUCGGCUUAUCCUCAAAAUUGCGUCUUCUCCGAUCGUGAUAUUCCCACAUUUUGCAGCAGGCGCCACCCGAUUCGAUAGAUACAGAUACGUAAGUUAUUCUCGAUAGAAUAAAUAACAUAUUCUAAAACUCAGCACCAACUACGAACCGGAAAACAAGGUUAUAAAACAUC